AGGAACAGGCUGAUUGAUGGUACAAAGGAGUAUUCUUUGGAGGAGUCACUUGGAGGUUUUUUUCACAAACAAUGAAAAGCUCGGUGUAAAGUACAAAAAAAGGACGGCAACAGGCAAGCAUCAGCAGAAAGAGGGGGCACAAGAUGUGAAAUGGAAUCACUCAGACUCCAGAGCAGAGCCACCAUUUAGCAUCCAGGAUGAAAUUCCAAGAAUGACACUCCCAGGACCACGAACUCCCCUGGAAUUAGCUCUAAUGG